rnacentral:rRNA from 1 species
AACGAACGCUGGCGGCAGGCUUAACACAUGCAAGUCGAGCGCCUCGCAAGAGGAGCGGCAGACGGGUGAGUAACGCGUGGGAACGUACCCUUAUCUUCGGAAUAGCUCUGGGAAACUGGAAGUAAUACCGAAUGUGCCCUUAGGGGGAAAGAUUUAUCGGAUAAGGAUCGGCCCGCGUUGGAUUAGCUAGUUGGUGGGGUAAAGGUCUACCAAGGCGACGAUCCAUAGCUGGUCUGAGAGGAUGAUCAGCCACAUUGGGACUGAGACACGGCCCAAACUCCUACGGGAGGCAGCAGUGGGGAAUAUUGGACAAUGGGCGCAAGCCUGAUCCAGCCAUGCCGCGUGAGUGAUGAAGGCCUUAGGGUUGUAAAGCUCUUUCACCGGAGAAGAUAAUGACGGUAGCCGGAGAAGAAGCCCCGGCUAACUUCGUG